rnacentral:lncRNA from 1 species
GCUAAACUAGUUGCCCGAGUUCUGCCUCUGGGACCCGGACCAGCGAGCUGAAAUUCCCCCAGGCUCGGGGACAACCCUUCUGAAGGAGGUUUGGGUCCUGGAAGCCCUCCUCAAGAGAGGAGGCUUUGCUACCGAGUCGAACUCUUUGCUCCGCGUUGUCAGCCACAGCUGCAGGGUGGAAUUACGUGAUUAAACCUGCUCGAUGCCUGGCUCCACCUCCGGAGAUUCGGAGUCAUUGGUCUUGGGCAAGUCCUAAGCAUCUGGCUCUCUUUUUGUUGUUUAAGUUCCCCGGCUACUUUCAAGUCCACGGGGGUUGAAAACCACUGGUUUAGGCGUACUUCCAGUCUUCGGCCAUGCGUAUAAAGAGCAGUUCCCCCUUCCUACCUCCAUGCCAUAAUCGUAGACCAACGCAAGACCCAGUUGGACCAUCACCAGGUGCAGAGAAUUAAAUGGCUUUCCCCCGCCUCACUUAACCACUUGAAGUGUUUCAGCCAGUGAAAUGGAGUGUCAAUGGCCUUGGGCCCGAUCUACCUGUAAACUCUUUCAGUCUAACAGGUGAACAGUUUGACUUAAUGAUCAAUCAACCUCCAUCCUGGCUGGGAAAGCAGUUUCAGUGAGUGCUCAACUUAAUUGGUUUGUGCCCACGCGGGACCUCCAGGGGGAUAUACACCAGUCAAAUGGCCUCAGUUUCUUGCUGUUUAAAAAGGAAUCAUCUAAAAAAAAGGCAGACUUGUACCGUGUAGCUGCCACCGUCAUUUCUGCAACAAUUCUAACUGCAUCACUGAUUGGUGUUCCAUCAAGAGACUUCAGCCAAAGGCCUGCCCUGGGAUGACACUGCCUCUUCUUGAUGUGUCCAGAUGUACAUCAGAUUUGGAGAGUUUAAUAUUCCUCAAGUAGCAGCUUCUCCUUCUUCUUCUCGUCAUAAAACAUAAAGCUUAUUAAGCUCACUUCCUAUGCGGCUCUUCGGGGUCACUCAGGGGAAGGAAGCCUGUGCUGCUCCCACCCAGAGGGCCUGCCUUAGAGUGCUUUGCAUGCUGCCUCACCCCGCCAGCACUGCCUCUGCACAGCCUGGACCUCCUCAGAAAGGACUAGAUACUGGACUCUACAUCCAGGAAAGAAGCCACUAGCACCUCUGCCAUGUGAGUUCUGGAGAAACACAAAAAUUAGGUGUCCGUCCCACCAACACUGUAAUGGAACCAAAAUUUUCAGAUUGUGAAGUCAUGUUUUCUGUAGUCCCUCUGAGAAUUUCAGGAACAGAGGCCCAGAAUUGAGGGAAGAGGCUAGAGGAGAGAGAAGUGGCCUAUAGUCCCCAAAUGCAGUGUUGGAUGAUGAGAAGCGCAUUGCCCCAGGUUGAAGGGAGGCCUGGGUUUGCAGUGUGUCUAGGCUGCUAGAAAAAUAUGGAUGGACAAUGCGUAGUCCUUUUUAACCAUUUAAUAUUUGAGACAUGCUUAGACUAAAAAAUUAUUUAUUGUUUAUCUGAAAUUCAAAUGGAGUAAGCAUCCUAUAUUUUUCUUGGCUAAAGCAGGCAACCCUAAGGGUACCCCAUUACUAACUGUGCCCUGGCAAGUGUCCCCUCCCCACUGCUUUCUUUGGCACCAUGAGGCAAUUAGGCUGAAAAGCCUAUAAGGAUUCCUGGGCUCUCAAAUUCUGAUUCUGAGAUGCAAUUAGGAGAAGGAAAAGCAAAACCUGAGGCUUAGAAUAUCUUUGAAGGUAAAAAAAAAAGAAAAAAUGGUUGUGUAUGACAGGGCACUGGCCAAUAUCUCUACAGUACCACACUGAUCAGAUUGACUGAAUUUUUCUCUUUUCAGAUAGCAAUUUGAGGAUUUGCAGACCUAGCUUGAAGUCAAAAGGCAAGGUUAGUAUCAAAAUAUUAAAGGAGGUCAUGUCAAAUAUUUGUGAACAAAUAUAUUCACUUUAUUGCUAUUAAUUAUCAUGAAAAAUGGAAAUAAUUUAAAUGUCCUAAAAUAAUGGUAAGAUUAGGUAAAUGAUAACCAAGUUAAACUAUAGAAUAUUGUGUUUUAUGUAGCCAGGAAAAAAUUCUGCUUAUGAAGAAUUUUAAUGAGCAUAGGAAAAUAUGUUGGUUUUUAAAAAAAGGAACCAAACUAUUUAAAAUUUAUUUAAAAUGUGUACACACACACACACACAUAUAUAUAAUGUGUGCACAGAAAUAAGCUUAAAAGGUAAAUGAUUAAAACCUUCAUAUUGGUUAUCUCUGGAGAGUUGGAUUCUGAAUGAUUUUGAUUUUUUCCUAUUUAUGUUUUCCUGUAUCUUUAUGUUUUCUACAACAAAUGUGUCACUUUCAUAAUCAGAGAAUAUUGACAUUAUAUAAGUGGAGAACUCUUUGACAAGAAAUAAAACAUGGCCCUACACAGGUGUCA